AGUAACUCCAAGAGUAAUGUUCCCACAAGGGGGCGCUAUUAAGUGCAAUUUCCUCAUGGAUUGGUCAAGAUCAAGGAAGAAGAGGAACGAGCAGGAGGAAUCAGGAGGAGACCAGACAUGUGGAGAAAAGAGCAAACUUCGUUGGAAUCCUGCUGUGUGAUUGUCCUAAACGGAUGCUUCAAGCUUUGCUGAGCCAUAACGACAUCUUGGAGAAGGUACUGCAUCCAGAGACCUCACCUGAAGGCUACCACUCAUUCAGAGAUGACACUUGUUUCAAAGGUUGUCUCAGAGUUCAACAGAGUGGCAACUUAA